UACAGAGGGGGCAAGCGUUGUUCGGAAUUACUGGGCGUAAAGGGCGCGUAGGCGGCCUUCUAAGUCGAACGUGAAAUCCCCGGGCUCAACCGGGGAACUGCGUCCGAUACUGGUGGGCUUGAAUCCGGGAGAGGGAUGCGGAAUUCCAGGUGUAGCGGUGGAAAUGCGGUAGAUAUCUGGAGGAACACCGGUGGCGAAGGCGGCAUCCUGGACCGGCAUUGACGCCUGAGGCGCGAAAGCCAGGGGGAGCAA
rnacentral:rRNA from 1 species